rnacentral:tRNA from 1 species
CAGGAUGUAUAUCAGUUGGUAGAUAGCUUGCUUUGGGAGCAAGAGGUCAAAGGUUCGAGUCCUUUUAUCCUGACAA